rnacentral:tRNA from 1 species
GCCUGGGUGGCUCAGUCGGUUAAGCAUCCGACUUUGGCUCAGGUCAUGAUCUCACGGUCUGUGGGUUCGAGCCCCGCAUCGGGCU